rnacentral:snRNA from 1 species
AUACUCGCUUCGGCGGUACAUAUACUAAAAUUGGAACGAUACAGAGAAGAUUAGCAUGGCCCCUGCGCAAGGAGACACGCAAAAUCGUGAAGCGUUCCACUUUUUU